rnacentral:rRNA from 1 species
GAGCCCAAGAUUGAAAGCUGGCGUCUUCGGCGUCCGCAUUGUAAUCUCAAGAAGUGUUUUCCGCUUCGGACCAUGCCUAAGUCCCUUGGAAAAGGGCAUCAUAGAGGGUGAUAAUCCCGUACAUGGCUUGGAGCGCCCGAGGCUUUGUGAUACGCUUUCUAAGAGUCGAGUUGUUUGGGAAUGCAGCUCAAAAUGGGUGGUAAAUGCCAUCUAAGGCUAAAUAUUGGGGAGAGACCGAUAGCGAACAAGUACAGUGAUGGAAAGAUGAAAAGAACUUUGAAAAGAGAGUUAAACAGUACGUGAAAUUGCCAAAAGGGAAGGGUAGGAGGUCAGAGAUGCGGCCUGGGAUUCAGCCUUGCUUUUGCUUGGUGUUUUUCCCAGAUUGCAGGCCAACGUCGGUUUUGGGCACUGGAGAAGGGUAGGAGGAACGUGGCACCUCUCGGGGUGUGUUAUAGCCUCCUACUGGAUACAGCGACCGAGACCGAGGACAGCAGCGUACUCGCAAGAGCGGGCCUUCGGGCACCUUUACGCUUAGGGCGUUGGCAUAAUGGCCCUCUACCACCCGUCUUGA